rnacentral:rRNA from 1 species
GCGAAGUCUGGGACAGACGUAUGGGUAAGUCGGUGUGUGCAGGUGUUGGCAGGAAGGACUGGUCGGAAAGUGUGCGUAGGCGGCUGGAUAAGGGAGUUGUGAAUGCCCGUUGGUAGACGACGGGGGCGCAGGUGGGACUGUCUGGCUUGUGGUUGGUAGGGGCGAGUGGAAGUCCCGUUGUGGCGGUGGAAGGCGUAGAGAUCGGGAAGAACACCGGUGGCGAAGGCGGCUCGCUGGGCCAAUGCUGACGCUGAUGCGCGAAAGCGUGGGGAGCAAACAGGAUUAGAUACCCGAGUAGUC